CCUACGGGAGGCAGCAGUGGGGAAUAUUGCACAAUGGGGGAAACCCUGAUGCAGCGACGCCGCGUGAGUGAAGAAGUAAUUCGUUACGUAAAGCUCUAUCAGCAGGGAAGAAAAUGACGGUACCUGAGUAAGAAGCCCCGGCUAACUACGUGCCAGCAGCCGCGGUAAUACGUAGGGGGCAAGCGUUAUCCGGAUUUACUGGGUGGAAAGGGAGCGUAGACGGGGCGGCAAGUCUGGAGUGAAAUGCCGCAGCUGAACUGCGGUACGGCUUUGGAAACUGGCGAACUAGAGUGCGGGAGGGGUAUGCAGAAUUCCUGGUGUAGCGGUGAAAUGCGUAGAUAUUAGGAGGAACACCGGUAGCGAAGGCGGCUUACUGGACCGUAACUGACGUUGAGGCUCGAAAGCGUGGGGAGCAAACAGGAUUAGAUACCCGGGUAGUC
rnacentral:rRNA from 1 species